AACGAACGCUGGCGGCAGGCUUAACACAUGCAAGUCGAACGGGUGCAGCAAUGCAUCAGUGGCAGACGGGUGAGUAACACGUGGGAACCUUCCUAGGGGUACGGAACAACUCAGGGAAACUUGAGCUAAUACCGUAUACGUCCGUGAGGAGAAAGAUUUAUCGCCCUUAGACGGGCCCGCGUCGGAUUAGCUAGUUGGUGGGGUAACGGCCUACCAAGGCGACGAUCCGUAGCUGAUCUUAGAGGAUGAUCAGCCACACUGGGACUGAGACACGGCCCAGACUCCUACGGGAGGCAGCAGUGGGGAAUCUUGGACAAUGGGCGCAAGCCUGAUCCAGCCAUGCCGCGUGAGUGAAGAAGGUCUUCGGAUUGUAAAGCUCUUUUGUCCAGGGACGAUAAUGACGGUACCUGGAGAAUAAGCCCCGGCAAA
rnacentral:rRNA from 1 species